rnacentral:rRNA from 1 species
GACAGAGGAUGCAAGCGUUAUCCGGAAUUAUUGGGCGUAAAGCGUCUGUAGGUGGCUUUUUAAGUUCGCCGUCAAAUCCCAGGGCUCAACCCUGGACAGGUGGUGGAAACUACCAAGCUAGAGUACGGUAGGGGCAGAGGGAAUUUCCGGUGGAGCGAUGAAAUGCGUAGAGAUCGGAAGGAACACCCAAGGCGAAAGCACUCUGCUGGGCCGACACUGACACUGAGAGACGAAAGCUAGGGGAGCAAAUGGG